AAAGGUAAGCUACUAAGAGCGAAUGGUGGAUGCCUUGACUGGUAGAGGCGAUGAAGGACGUACUAGACUGCGAUAAGCUAGGUGGAGCUGUCAAGAAGCUUUGAUGCCUAGAUUUCCGAAUGGGGCAACCCAGUAUAUAGAGAUAUAUACUACCAUAAUGGAGCGAACGAGGGGAAUUGAAACAUCUUAGUACCCUCAGGAAAAGAAAUCAAACGAGAUUGCGUCAGUAGCGGCGAGCGAAAGCGUAAGAGGGCAAACCCAGUGCUUGCACUGGGGGUUGUAGGACUGCAAUGUGCAAGAGGAAAGGUUAGCAGAACACUCUGGAAAGUGUAGCCAUAGAGGGUGAUAGUCCCGUAUGCAAAAACCUAACCUUAGCUAGCAGUAUCCUGAGUAGGGCGGGACACGAGAAAUCCUGUCUGAAGCUGGGUAGACCACUAUCCAACCCUAA
rnacentral:rRNA from 2 species